CCUAGUUGAUCCUGCCAGUAGUCAUAUGCUUGUCUCAAAGAUUAAGCCAUGCAUGUCUAAGUAUGAACUAAUUCAGACAGUGAAAAUGCAGAUGGCUCAUUAAAUCAGUUAUAGUUUUUUUGAUGGUACCAUACUCCUUGGAUGACUGUAGUAAUUCUAGAGCUAAUAUGUGCACCAAGUCCUGACUCUUUGGAAGGGAUGCAUUUUUUAGAUAAAAGGCUGGUGUGGGCUUGCCCGCUUCUCCGGUGAAUCAUGAUAACUUGACGAAUCACACAACCCUUUUGCUGGCGAUGCUUCAUUCAAAGUUUUUCCCUAUCAACUUUCGAUGGUAGGAUAGAGGCCUAUCAUGGUGGUGAUGGGUGAUGGAGAAUUAGGUUUUGAUUCUAAAGAUGGAGCCUGAGAAACGACUACCACAUCCAAGGAAGGUAGCAGCCGCGCAAAUUACCCAAUACUGACAUGGGGAGGUAAUGACAAUAAAUAACAAUACUGGGCUCAUCGAGUCUAGUAAUUGGAAUGAGUACAAUCUAAAUCCCUUACGAGGAUCCAUUGGAGGGAAAGUCUGGUGCCAGCAGCUGCGGUAAUUCUAGCUCCAAUAGCGUAUAUUUAAGUUGUUGCAGUUAAAAAGCUCAUAGUUGGAUCUUGGGUCAUAAAGGUCGGUCCGCCUACUUGGUGUGCACCUGCCCUUCCGUCCCUUUUGUCGGCGGCAUGCUCCUAGCCUUAAUUGGCUGAGUCACGGCUCCAGUGCUAUUACUUUGAAAAAAUUAGAGUUCUCAAAGCAAGCUUAUGCUCUGAAUACAUUAGCAUGGAAUAACGUGAUAGGAGUCUAGUCCUAUUGUGUUGGCCUUCGGGACCGGAGUAAUGAUUAAUAAGGACUUUCGGGGGCAUUCAUAUUUCAUUGUCAGAGGUGAAAUUCUUGGAUUUAUGAAGGAUGGACCACUACAAAAGCAUUUUACAAGGAUGUUUUCAUUAAUCAAGAACAAAAGUUGGGGGCUCGAAGACGAUCAGAUACCGUCCUAGUCUCAACCAUAAAUGAUGCUGACUAGGGAUCGACGGAUGUUGCUCUAAGGACUCCGCCAGCACCUUCUGAGAAAUCAGAGUGUUUGGGUUCCGGGGGGAGUAUGGUCGCAAGGAUGAAACUUAAAGGAAUUGAUGGAAGGUCACCACUAGGAGUGGAGCCUAUGGCUUAAUUUGACUCAACACGGGGAAACUUACUAGGUCAAGAAAUAGUAAGGAUUCACAAAUUGAGAGCUCUUUCUUGAUUCUAUGGGUGGUGGUGCAUGGCCGUUCUUAGUUGGUGGAGCGAUUUGUCUGGUUAAUUCCAAUAACAAAUGAGACAUCAGCCUAAUAACUAGCUACAUGGAGGUUCCUCUUUGUGGCUAGCUUCUUAGAGGGACUAUGGCCAUUUAGGCCAUGGAAUUUUGAGGCAAUAAUUGGUCUGUGAUGCCCUUAGAUGUUCUGGGCCACACGUACGCUACACUGAUGUAGCCAACAAUUUUUUAUUCCUGGUUCAAGAGGAUUGGGAAAUCUUCUCAAAUUGCAUCAUGAUGGAGAUAGACCAUUGAAAUUAUUGGUCUUCAAUGAGGAAUUCCUAGUAAGAACAUGUCAUUAACUCAUGUUGACGACAUCCCUACCCUUUGUACACACCGCCCAUCGCUCCUACCAAUUGAAUGAUCCAAUGAAGUGCUCGAAUUGUGUCUAUGAUUGUGGUUCAUCGUCGUUGAUGUUGUGAGAAGUUCAUUGAACCUUAUCAUUUAGAGGAAGGAGAAGUCGUAACAAGGUUACCAUAGGUGAACCUGCGAUAG
rnacentral:rRNA from 1 species